rnacentral:rRNA from 1 species
UACUUAGUACGGCGAGUGAGCGGUAAAAGCUCAAAUUUGAAAUCUGGUACUUUCAGUGCCCGAGUUGUAAUUUGUAGAAUUUGUCUUUGAUUAGGUCCUUGUCUAUGUUCCUUGGAACAGGACGUCAUAGAGGGUGAGAAUCCCGUUUGGCGAGGAUACCUUUUCUCUGUAAGACUUUUUCGAAGAGUCGAGUUGUUUGGGAAUGCAGCUCAAAGUGGGUGGUAAAUUCCAUCUAAAGCUAAAUAUUGGCGAGAGACCGAUAGCGAACAAGUACAGUGAUGGAAAGAUGAAAAGAACUUUGAAAAGAGAGUGAAAAAGUACGUGAAAUUGUUGAAAGGGAAGGGCAUUUGAUCAGACAUGGUGUUUUUUGCAUGCACUCGCCUCUCGUGGGCUUGGGCCUCUCAAAAAUUUCACUGGGCCAACAUCAAUUCUGGCAGCAGGAUAAAUCAUUAAGAAUGUAGCUACUUCGGUAGUGUUAUAGCUUUUUGGAAUACUGUUAGCCGGGAUUGAGGACUGCGCUUCGGCAAGGAUGUUGGCAUAAUGGUUAAAUGCCGCCCGUCUUGAACCACGGACC